UAUUCGAGACCUCUGCUGAUCCU
rnacentral:miRNA from 2 species